rnacentral:misc_RNA from 1 species
AAGUCGUAACAAGGUCUCCGUUGGUGAACCAGCGGAGGGAUCAUUAUAGAGUUAUACAACUCCAAAACCCAUGUGAACAUACCUGUUGCCUCGGUGGCCUACCCGGUAGUUACCCUGUAGUUACCUUGUAGUCCGCCGAAGGACCAUUUAAACUCUUUUAUAUCUAUCUCUGAGUAAAAAACAAAUAAGUUAAAACUUUCAACAACGGAUCUCUUGGUUCUG